rnacentral:sRNA from 1 species
UGCGGGAGGGAUCAACAUUCGGUGCUGC